GUCCACGCCGUAAACGAUGGGCACUAGACGCUGGUGGGAUCGACCCCUUCAGUGUCGAAGCUAACGCGAUAAGUGCCCCGCCUGGGGAGUACGGCCGCAAGGCUGAAACUCAAAGGAAUUGACGGGGGCCCGCACAAGCGGUGGAGCAUGUGGUUUAAUUCGAAGCAACGCGAAGAACCUUACCUGGGCUUGACAUCUACGGGAAACUCUCGUGAAAGCGGGAGCCCUCUUCGGAGUCCGUAGACAGGUGCUGCAUGGCUGUCGU
rnacentral:rRNA from 1 species